CCUACGGGUGGCAGCAGUGGGGAAUAUUGGACAAUGGGCGAAAGCCUGAUCCAGCCAUGCCGCGUGUGUGAAGAAGGCCUUCGGGUUGUAAAGCACUUUCAGUGGGGAAGAAAGCCUUAGGGCUAAUACCCUCGAGGAAGGACAUCACCCACAGAAGAAGCACCGGCUAACUCCGUGCCAGCAGCCGCGGUAAUACGGAGGGUGCGAGCGUUAAUCGGAAUUACUGGGCGUAAAGCGCGCGUAGGCGGUCUGAUAAGCCGGUUGUGAAAGCCCCGGGCUCAACCUGGGAACGGCAUUCGAAACUGUCAGGCUAGAGUGUAGGAGAGGAAGGUAGAAUUCCCGGUGUAGCGGUGAAAUGCGUAGAGAUCGGGAGGAAUACCAGUGGCGAAGGCGGUCUUCUGGACUGACACUGACGCUGAGGUGCGAAAGCGUGGGUAGCAAACAGGAUUAGAUACCCCAGUAGUC
rnacentral:rRNA from 1 species